ensembl:lncRNA
AAUGGUACUUUGCUGGAGGUACCUGUGUAUCUGAAGCCUUCUGAAGGGAGCAACAAGGACAGGAGCUGACCUGAAAUAGCAAGCACUGGUUGGCCUUACUACAGGUAGCUGAUCUAUGAAAAGAUGAAGAACCAAAUACUGUCUUCUACCACUGGAGGCUGGUGUCCAAGUCAGAGCUGUAGCACUUCAUUAAUAUGAUCAUUUCAGAAGGUGGUUGUUCUCCGUACUGUCCACCAUCUCUGGCCUUAAGAAGCAAAAAAACAUCUUCUAAGAAUUCAUCUUAUUUUCACCUUUUGAUGUUCCCAACUGCCUCUUUUCUGAAAUCUGAUGGGUUGCAAGACAAGAUUUUAAGUAUUUACAACCACCUCUAAUAAACCGCUUCAUGGAUAUUUAUGAGAUGCUGUUUUAGCAGACUGCAUUAUAAUAUUAAUCAAAAUCAAGGCUGCUGCUUGGAGACACUCCAGGAUUUAGAUCUUUACUGAAAUCUUUCCAGGUAUCUUCAUUUUCCCUACACCUUUUGUUUUGUUUUGUUUGUUGUUACUGUUGUUGCUAAUUUCCAGUUAUUUAUCAGAUGAUAUUUGGAUAUAUGCGAAUACAGUCUUGACAGAAAGUCAGAAAAUCCUAAAAUUAAUCAUUUUAAUGUUUAAUCAACACUUUCAUACUUCUUUUUUCCUGUAAUAUAAAGGAAAGUAGUAAUGUUAACAGGAAGGGAUACAAGGUACCCUGCUGUGCCAAUAAAAUUGCAUUGUAUGUGUUUAUUACUUACAACUAAAAAUGUCAUAGUGUGUUCUGAAGGCUUGUCUAUGAAGCUCUUGUAAUUUUCAUAUCUAUCAUUUAGAGGUUUAAUGAAUCCAGGAGGCCAACAUGUAAAUUUUCAAGUACCUGCUUUGAGUUAGGGAUUAUUGUUUUCUGGGUGCUUGUUUAGAGAACCUUAGCUCUUGAUUUUCAGAAGCAGUAUAAUGAAUGAUUUGAACCUCCAAGACAAUAAACAAGGUUUAGAGUAUAUGUUUUGUAUUUAGUUCUCAACAAUUUUAACACAUUCACAAAAGUAAAGGCAGAGCUACUGGCUACUUGGCAAACAAAAGCCUCCUUUAUAGUGCGUGCGUACAUUUCUAUGCUGUACGUUUUACUUCCUUUUUAGCAUGUUAACUUACAAGUCAUUUUGAUGUGGUAAAACAGGAGCAAGACAGAAGAGUUUUAUGAUACAUCUUGGUAACGGUUUAGCACUAAGACAAAAUGUGCCUUCUAUUUUUAUGUAUCUUCAAUAAUUACUGCACAAUUGCUGGAGAUGGGUCUAAACCAGUACUCAGUUCCUCGCCUUUGGUAUGAUUUGGCACAAAAUAAUUGUUGCAUAUACUUAUAUGAGCACAUGAAAGCUCCAUGAUAAAAUAAAAAUCCACAAAGGUACUGUAUGAAAGACCAAAGACUUACAAAAUACCUACUCAAAACUGAAUCAAAAGAAAGCAAAUUAAAUAUAUAUAUAUAUGAAAUUUCCUUUCGAAAUGUUAUUUCAAAUGGUAAAAACUGAGAUAUUACCUGUAGCAUGUCAUUUGAAAUCUAAAUUAUUUUUAUUGCUUUUCCCAUUACACCUAUAGUACAGUCAUUGUGUUUUGUGAAACAAUAGCUAGAAUUAGAGAUUACUGAGGAUUAGUACUGAUCGUUUUGAAUUAAAACAUCUCUUAUAUGUUUUAUUGCUGUAUUGCAUUACUAGUGAGCUUUUCUAUAACAAAGAUACUUUGCUAUUCAAGUGUGAAAUUUACCAGAUUUCUGUGGAUGAGUGUAAAUUCAUAAAAUACUGAGAUUAAACCUCUGCGCAUCGUGU